UACGAAGGGGGCUAGCGUUGUUCGGAUUUACUGGGCGUAAAGCGCGCGUAGGCGGAUCACUAAGUCAGGGGUGAAAUCCCGAGGCUUAACCUCGGAACUGCCUUUGAUACUGGAGAUCUGGAGAUCGGGAGAGGUUGGUGGAAUUCCGAGUGUAGAGGUGAAAUUCGUAGAUAUUCGGAGGAACACCAGAAGCGAAGGCGGCCAACUGGCCCGAUACUGACGCUGAGGCGCGAAAGCGUGGGGAGCAAACAGG
rnacentral:rRNA from 1 species